rnacentral:rRNA from 1 species
GAUGAACGCUGGCGGCGUGCCUAAUACAUGCAAGUCGAGCGAACGGACGAGAAGCUUGCUUCUCUGAUGUUAGCGGCGGACGGGUGAGUAACACGUGGAUAACCUACCUAUAAGACCGGGAUAACUUCGGGAAACCGGGGCUAAUACCGGAUAAUAUUUUGAACCGCAUGGUUCAAAAGUGAAAGACGGUCUUGCUGUCACUUAUAGAUGGAUCCGCGCUGCAUUAGCUAGUUGGUAAGGUAACGGCUUACCAAGGCAACGAUGCAUAGCCGACCUGAGAGGGUGAUCGGCCACACUGGAACUGAGACACGGUCCAGACUCCUACGGGAGGCAGCAGUAGGGAAUCUUCCGCAAUGGGCGAAAGCCUGACGGAGCAACGCCGCGUGAGUGAUGAAGGUCUUCGGAUCGUAAAACUCUGUUAUUAGGGAAGAACAUAUGUGUAAGUAACUGUGCACAUCUUGACGGUACCUAAUCAGAAAGCCACGGCUAACUACGUGCCAGCAGCCGCGGUAAUACGUAGGUGGCAAGCGUUAUCCGGAAUUAUUGGGCGUAAAGCGCGCGUAGGCGGUUUUUUAAGUCUGAUGUGAAAGCCCACGGCUCAACCGUGGAGGGUCAUUGGAAACUGGAAAACUUGAGUGCAGAAGAGGAAAGUGGAAUUCCAUGUGUAGCGGUGAAAUGCGCAGAGAUAUGGAGGAACACCAGUGGCGAAGGCGACUUUCUGGUCUGUAACUGACGCUGAUGUGCGAAAGCGUGGGGAUCAAACAGGAUUAGAUACCCUGGUAGUCCACGCCGUAAACAAUGAGUGCUAAGUGUUAGGGGGUUUCCGCCCCUUAGUGCUGCAGCUAACGCAUUAAGCACUCCGCCUGGGGAGUACGACCGCAAGGUUGAAACUCAAAGGAAUUGACGGGGACCCGCACAAGCGGUGGAGCAUGUGGUUUAAUUCGAAGCAACGCGAAGAACCUUACCAAAUCUUGACAUCCUUUGACAACUCUAGAGAUAGAGCCUUCCCCUUCGGGGGGGCAAAGUGACAGGUGGUGCAUGGUUGUCGUCAGCUCGUGUCGUGAGAUGUUGGGUUAAGUCCCGCAACGAGCGCAACCCUUAAGCUUAGUUGCCAUCAUUAAGUUGGGCACUCUAAGUUGACUGCCGGUGACAAACCGGAGGAAGGUGGGGAUGACGUCAAAUCAUCAUGCCCCUUAUGAUUUGGGCUACACACGUGCUACAAUGGACAAUACAAAGGGCAGCGAAACCGCGAGGUCAAGCAAAUCCCAUAAAGUUGUUCUCAGUUCGGAUUGUAGUCUGCAACUCGACUACAUGAAGCUGGAAUCGCUAGUAAUCGUAGAUCAGCAUGCUACGGUGAAUACGUUCCCGGGUCU